GCAUUCCGGCAAGUCGGUGCUGAUCCUCGGUGGCGCGGGCGGCGUGGGUUCGGUCGCGAUUCAGCUGGCGAAAAAACUGGCGCGCCUCAACGUCAUCGCCACCGCGUCGCGGCCCGAGUCGAUCGCCUGGUGCAAGGGCCUGGGCGCCGACGAGACGGUGGACCACUCGAAGCCCAUCGAGGGGGAAUACGAUUUUGUCCUCUGUUUUUCUUCUUCGGACGCGUAUUGGCCCGCCUUUCCCAGGCUGGUCAAACCCCAGGGCAAGGUCGGCAUGAUCGUGCGCACCGUGAAGCCGGUGGACCUCGCGAUCCUGCACGACAAAA
rnacentral:misc_RNA from 1 species